UACGUAGGGUGCAAGCGUUUGUCCGGAAUUAUUGGGCGUAAAGAGCUCGUAGGCGGUUUUGUUGCGUCGGCUGUGAAAAUCCCGAGGCUCAACCUCGGGUCUGCAGUCGAUACGAGCAAACUAGAGUGUUGCAGGGGAGACUGGAAUUCCUGGUGUAGCGGUGAAAUGCGCAGAUAUCAGGGAGGAACACCCUGCGGCGAAGGCGGGUUGCUGGGCUGACACUGACGCUGGAAGCGCGAAAGCUAGGGGAGCGAACGGG
rnacentral:rRNA from 1 species